CCACUACCACUAAUGGUCAUCACCUAACACCAAGAACCUGAAAUACAUGUAGCAAAUGAUACUCAACAGUAAAAAUAAACCAAAUGUAAAACAGUAAAAAUUGGGAAAUAAUCUAAUAAAACAUAAAACAAAAUAAAAAUAAAAGCAAAAAGCAUACUAAAACCUCCCCCACACUUGAACUAAACAUUGGCUUCAAUGUUUUAAAACAAGAUAGAAGGAGGGUGAAUCACAGUGCCCUACUGAGGAGGCUGGGGUGGAAAGUGAAACAUCAAUU
rnacentral:lncRNA from 1 species